UGACUUUUCCAUCCAUUCUGCAGAAGGGUGAACGUGUAUACAUAUAGUGAAUGGUCCCUGGGGCUGGGCCUAACUUUGGGUGAAAAUGGAGUGUUCAGUAAGUCAAUGGCAUUAUUGUGUCAGAAAUGGGGAAAAAGAAAUACAGAAUGAAAUGUGCUCCAUCAGUGAGAUGGUGAAGGUGGGGAAGGAAGAGAUGGGGGGAAACUGUUGUUCUUCUUGUGGUGCCAGUCCUCACCUCCAUUUUCUCCCUGAUUUUAGUUUGAUUUCCCUGACUUGUUUUUCCUGACAUCUCUUUUCCAUUCUCUUUUCAUCUGUUCUGUUAGGGCUAUUGUAUUCCAUUUCCACAUGUGUACACUAUCCCUUCGUUUCCACAGAGACCUGAAAUGGCUGUGAAAUUAUACUCACAGUGUUCCCCAGAGGGCUGUUUCCUUAUAGAAAUUCAGAUCUCUAAGUCCUCAAAGACAGAACUAUCCACCCAGAGCAUCCUGGUUUCCUCCACACCUUGCCCCGAAUUCUGCACAAGAGCACAGUCAAGAAAUUGGUGGUACUAAGUUUCCCUGUGCCUUCAGCCAGCUGGUCCUGUGUGAGCCCAACAUGGUAUAGGAGACACUCUGGAGGAGGAGAAGUGACAGACCAGCACUAACUUGCCAAAUUUGAAAUAAUCCCUAGGCCGUGUACUUUUCUCCUCAGUCACCUGCCCUACAUUGCAGCAUCUGUCCCAGGGACUUUUUCAGCAGUCAGAUACAGACAGUAUUCACACAUAGAAGCUUUCCCCCACACAGCCUGGUUUUUCAGGGUCCUUUUCCUCUAUAUGGAGAUGUGGAAUGGCCACUGUGUUCCUUUACAACGCUGAUCCCAUCCUUUUCCCUCUGUUUUUCUGUCUUUCUCUGCCCUUCUUUCCCUCAUUCCUUCUUUUAUAUUAAACUGUUUUUCAUUACUGUGUUUUACUCACCCUGGUGAGUAGGAAGAAUAUCCUAAGUAUUGCAUUUGAAAAUUCUCUUACCCCACAGAGUAACUGACUCAUUUUCAUCAUGAGAGUGCCCUUCCCAAACUGCUCUCAUUCCCUACUGAUCGUUCUGGAUUUGUCACCCAGAAGUUUUCAAUUCUGGGUUGGUUUUGGUCUGCAUAUGGGUUUGCAGUUUACAUUUCUUUAUUUUUAUCUGGAGUUUUUGUUACCACAUGACAUUAUUUUUUUCUUUUUGCCACUUCCAAAACUUCACUUUAUUUUCCUCUUCUGAAGUGUUCUUUUUUCUCUCUUCAAAAUGAAUUUUGCCAUAUUUGUCAUCGAUCUAGACACCCUUCUUAUUUUCACAAACUCUACUGAGGUAUAAGAGAAAGAGACUUGUUCCUCCUUUCCCUCACCUUUAUGUAAAGAAUGGAUCCUCGUAUGAUGUAAAACUCACCUUGUGCAAUUAGAUCAGUGACACCACACCAAAUGGCUGCGGAGCUGCUUCCCAGUUGUAGACACAUACAUUUCGGUGUGGGCAGUGCUGCUCAGUCACCUAGUAAGUAUCUGCUGGAAUAACGUAUGAGCAUGACCUGCUCAUAGCUCACGAUGCUCCUUCAUCGGCUAAUCACAAGUGUGUAGUGCUGCACUGUAGUCUACUGCAAAAGCGUCAAAAGGCAAGUUAUUUAUGAACCAGUGCUAGACCUGCCUUCAAUUAGUCGAAAAAUAUGUUUCUGCAAGGAACUGGCAAAGCCAGCUGCAUUUGUUAUUUUUAGUUUUGCUUUGUGACUUUAUUACAAAGUUGAAAUAAUCCUUGACUGAAUAGGUUAACGCUGACAGUUGCAGUUCUCUUGGGGCGCUGAAUAUAUUGUGCCUACGGUGUUAACUUGUGAUUCUACAUGUGGUUUUAAUUGCAAGCAUUGGUCAAAUGAAAAGUAUAUCUUAUUUUAAUCUGGUUUCGAUUAACUACCCCAGUAUUGAGAGAGGAUAGCAAGCUUAAAAAAUUAUUGCUCUUAUUAAAUAGAGAUAUUUUACUGCCUCUUUGUCUCAGUAAUGGAGAUAAUACACAUUUAGAGAUAGAUAAUGUAUAUGGUAUAUUGCAAAAGACAAUAUAUCUUAUGCAACUUGAUAUUUAGUCUGUUUAUUGUGAUCGUCCAGCAUUUCAAUAAAUGUCAGUGUAAUGGAUGAGUGCCCGUAACAACAGCCACUUCUGGUUGAAUUUCUUUGUUGUGGAAGUAUCCCAAAUAAUAUCUCUCUGAACAAAGUGACAUUCACAGCUAUCUUGCGUACUUAUCCUCAGCACAAACAAAAGGCUAUGUCUUUUCUACCAACUAGUGAAAUAAUUUUUCAUGGUAGAAAUGAGUAUGAUGUUUUGAUUCAUAUUUUUUCUCACAGAUAAAUGCAGAUUUAACCCAAGUUUGGGGGAUUUUUGUCAGAUUGGUUUUGAUCACAUACAAGAAUUACCAUAAAACAGAAUAUUAUAUUUGACAGCUUUAAGUAAAAUAUAUGUUUGGAUAAAAAUCACAUCCCUUUUGUAAAUUUUGUCAAUUUUGUACCUUGUGUUUAUUUUUGCUACUUGGGAUGUUCAGCUAUUGAGUAGGAAAAAAAAAGUUGAAAGAUCUCAUUAGAAAGACUACAAGUCAAGUCGUAUAGGGUUUAUAGAUUUUUCUGCUAAAUCAAGUAUUUAUUUAUGCCUAAAUCCAUAUUGCUUCUACUAUUGACGGAAGGAGGGAUGUUACGUGUGAGCAAUUUUAUUUGUUUUGCUGGAAGAGUAAACCAGAAUUCAUUUGGAGUCAACCCAAACAAUAUUUUUUCAUUACUUCAAUUCUCAUGUCAGCCUGCAACUCAAAAGCUCAUAUCUAUUGAAAGAGAUCAAAAAUAAUAUAUCCAAAAGCUGCCCCUCCAAGAAAAUCAAAAUGAGGGGAAAGGAUAUUCUAAAAAUAACCUGUAGACAGAAUACCUUUUAUUUUGUAAGAUUGACUUUAAGGAAAGUUCUGAUCCUCCACAGCACUCAUUCAGGUAUUUAACUCAGUUAUUUACAAAUAUUCACAUACUUUAAACUUCAGACCCACUUCAGUAUUUCACUGGCUCAAGACUCAAGAUGUAGAGAGUUUUAUUAUUUGGGUCUAAUCUUCUCAUACAUGAUGUAGCGUAUUAGGAGUUCUUCAGUAAAGCUUUAAUAAUUGUAUUGAUUCUUAGCAAAUCUGUAGUUGCAGAGACUUGAAAAAUGAAGGUAACCAUUACUGUUUAAAAAAAUUGUCCCAUAUUGUAUUAGGUGAUAUGUGCAUUUCACUAUAGGGGAACAUAAAAAAGAAAGGGAAAAUAUUUUCCCUGAGCCCAAAUGAGUUUCUUCCCUCUAUAAUUAUCACCACCCCAGCAACAUGAGCAUUGAAACUCCACUUGAAACUGUAGAAUAGUGAUGCUCACGAUUACUGAAAUGUAGAUGAAGAAAACCACCUGUCUCAAUUAAUUCACAGUUUUAUUUUAAGAGCUGAUUUUUUCUUUUUUUUUCCCUUGAAAUUUAUGUUUACUGUGCACAAUUGUGAUGUGGCAAGUAGACUGUAUUGCACUCUGCAUUGUGUUUAAUUAUAAAGCCUAACAACUGUGACUUAAUAACACAGAUCACAAACGAGUGUGGAAACCAUAGUUCUUCACCACGGCAAGAGGCAAUGUUUUGCACUAUUCAGUGUAAUUAAAGAUUAAGCGUGGUGAAGCUAUAGAACUGAAUCAACAGUCAUUUGUAAUAUAUACCAAUUAUCGUCAUAGGGGAUUAUUUUCUUUCUGCUGGGUGAUCUGAUUGUUGUGUAUUAGCCAUCAGUUGAGAGCUAUUCAUCCUGAGAUGUUUAUUGCUAGGACGCUCUUCAAGCAAAGCAUUUAAACAGUGGCAAAAACAUUACAGCAAAACAUUCACCAGUGAAGGUAACUCUUGGGCAGCACUGCUGAACGGGGACUGGUUUUUAUCUCAGAAAGUAUUGGUCCAGUUCUUACCCACACAAAUGCUGCUUUGCACCAUUUGGUCUAGAAAUGAGAGUGCUUUACAACAAAAAAAAAGUACACAAGGUACAGGUUACCCAAACUGUUAGGAAAUCACCCUUAACCCCAUUUGGGGGAUGUUCCCUACUAAAAAGAGCCCCAGGAGCAAAAGGAGCAUGGGCACAGUGAAACAUUGUAAAGCAACAGCUGUCCAUACACUGGUGGCAAGUACCCCUGCCCAGCAUUUUUAAACAAAGAACAAAGUUUCCUGAUUGCUAGGGUUUGUGUGUGCAGUGAUGGCGCAGGAUUCUUCUUUCCCCACUCCCUGUUUUCACCCUUUUUGCAGGGUUGUUUUUCUAGUAAAAUGGCACAAAGGCAAGUUAAGGUAUAUACAGCUUUGUCACACUUGGGAGGGAGAUUAAAAAAAAAAAAAAAAAAAACAGGAAUUCUCAGUGGUAACAUAGAAAUGAGUUAUUUGCCUGACUCCAAGGAGCAUUUUCUGCUGAUUUCAGUGAGGAGAGGUUUAGGCAAGAACAGGGCAACUGUGAAAAAACAUGCAUUUCACUUUGAAGAAUUAAAAUAAAUGUGUUCUGUUGCUGUGUAACACCUGGGAACAGUUGUUGUGCUGUCACACAAAGUAUGGGUUCUGCUUUGCCAGUUUGUUUAUGCAGAAAUGUUCCGGACUUCUGCCUACUCAAAUAUUUUGGUAUAAAUGUCUCACUCUGGAAAUCCUGGUUCAUUUUUUUCAUUGCUAAUCACAUAUGUGACUCAAAGUACCAAAAUACAAAAGACAAAAAUAA